GCCCUAUGGGAUUCUUAUCAUAUUUGCUUGAUCUGGGAUGAUUUUGUGUCCUUGUGACUGAUGCAUGCCUUGUGCUGGUUCUGCAGGGAUUCCACCAUUAGCAUAAAGAUCAAGGCGGCGAGUGGUGGCCGUGGAAAGCAGGGGUUCCACAAUUGGCUACAUCGUCUCAAGGAGAAGAAUUCUUACAUGAUCCCUGUAACUGCUCGUUUUGUUAAUGUCUUCGCCCUAUGGGUCCAGGUUCUCAACUUCAGUCCUUCACAAUGCAAUGUGUCCAGGAUCUAAGAAUAGACAUAUAACACUUCUUAUAAUUCAGACCAUGCUUGCCAAUAAAGUUGAAUGUGCUGGAGCAAUAGUUCUAAAACUUCAUUAAGUCGAAGUAGGCAACAUUUUUUCUUAGUGGCCUUCUUUCUCCGUCGUAUCUCAAAUGCAAGCAAGCAUGCCUUUGCUAAGGGUUAGAAGAAGCCAAUGAAUAUGUCUAGGAUCUCUUUUAUAUUACUAAGGAAUACCUCUUUAUUUUUUCUAAAUGCACAUGAUAGACUGUCUGAUACUGAAAAAGUAUAUUGCAACUUCAGAAAUUUAUGCAAAUGAUGGCUCUAAGGGUUAGAAGAAGCCAAGGAGUAUGUGAUAGGCUUUUUUGAUAGUUUAUCAGAAGAAAGUGUAGAAGAAAAUGGAGAGGAUGAUGAAGUGACUCAAAUAGAAGUACGAAAUAUCUGCGUCAGCAAGCUAGGUAUGUUCGAGGAAAUAAUACUAUGCAACAUAUUUUGUUUAUAUGCUUGUGUAGACUGACCAGCUAAGUUUAUCCAUGAAGGCCUUCGUAGAUAGACAUCAUACAUGAUAACAAUGUGUGGGUAACAUCUCAACAAGGGUGUAUUUAUCUGAACUAUCAGCUGCAAUUCUUUUGGUUCCCAAUUCUUCUAGUUGUCCAAAUUAGCUGAUUGUCCAGAAGCUUAUUAGUGAAUCUGAUGGGUCAUCUCAUGCUUGCAAGCUUAAUCUUUUCACAUUGGAUUUUCUUGUGCUUAGUUUUGUUCUGACCAGACUUAUUUCUUAGUGCUCCUCCGUGUUCCUCUGCAUAACUGGAUGUGGGGAAGCACCUUACGUGAUUAUGUGAUGAUUCUUACAAUCCUGCCAAUUGUGUCACAUAUGGAUAAGAGGAUAUAUAUUCUAGAGUAUCACAAAAACACACAUUUUUACUCAGGUUGUCAUUGGUUGGUUGAUUCAACAACAUUUUGGUGCCUUGCAAUAUGAUUUUCACAAUCGUAUCAAUGCAAGCUCAUAGGUACCAUCUGUAUAAAUUUCAGAUUAACUAUCUCAGUCUCGAAGUUUAUAGAUUUGGUGGUUUGUUUGCAAGUACGUGAACAACAAGUUAAGCAAUAAGUACAAGGCGGCGAGGAGAGUUGCAAAUCGAUGACCGGCACUUCACAUUACAAAAUUUUCAUUCUUUUUUUUUCCUGGCUCAUGUUCGUAUUUUGUUUCGGAGACAAAGAAUAAUCGAGUUUUGAUUGGGACCCUGUUGUGGGAGAAACGGCUAUAUUUGAAGGGUACAAAAACUAUUUUGAGCAGCUAACUACACUUUUUUUUAUAACAGCAGCUAACUACACUUGGAAUGAGUAGUUGCUUCUGCUUGAGGACGCCAUGGACAAGUUGCUCUGGCCCUGGCGCCGCAGCCAUGGAUAUACAUGUCUAAUUGUUGCUCUUAUGUAAUUUGGUUGCUUUUGAGUAGUUGGUCUCAAAGAAUUUCAUAGUUGCCUGGAUGUUGUAUUAGUUAAGCUAUUUCUAGAUCUGCCACAGGCUGAGUAUUAUAACUGUGAUUUGGUCGUAUUGGUAGCCUCCCGAGCUAAUCUUUUGUAGGUUUUCUUAGCUUGUUUCUGUGAAUAGGAUUUGGUUUAGUUCUCAAUUGUAGUUUGUUGUUAAUGGUUGUUCGGAUGGGUGUGGCCUCUUUGAAGUCGUGGUUAUGUUUUCAUUUGCACUAGGCUGGUCGUGUUGGUAGCCUCGCGUCGUAGUCUUGAUUUGAUACGUCCAAUUAUGAUUUAGACUUUAUUUUGCACAUCUUAUUGCUUAUACUUCAUAAGUUGACAAAGCUGCUCACAUAAGGUCAUUUUCUUUUUAUGGUUUCUCAGUUUGUAUAGUUUACUUGAAUGUUGAUAUGCUUCUCUGCAGAAUGCUUUUGCAGUUUCCUGUUCAUGGGGUACUCUUAAUUAGUGAGUUAUUUUUUCUUUGAAUGGUUAAGCAAUCCACGAUUCACUAUGAAUGAAGUGGGAGGUCUAAGGGAACAACUAAGGUUACAUUGCAAGGUGUGAUGAUGCCCGCCUUUUGGAGAAUGUUCAACUUUUAUAGACCUAUUAGCUUGCUAUCCUUGACGACUAAACGCUUGCUGCUGCACUUCUGUUAUUUAUAUUCUUUUUUGAACAACUAGCGCUCGUCUGUGUUGUGUACUCCCUCCGUUCCAAAAUAGAUGACUCAAUUUUGUACUAAAGUUAGUAUAAAGUUGAGUCAUCUAUUUUGGAACGGAGGGAGUAUGAGUGAACACUGCAAUGAUCUAUUUCAGUUAAGUGCACUUGUUUUUAACAUAUGGUGCUCAUCUGGGCUGCAAAAGCAUAUGCAUACGUA